CAGCCGCCGCGGGAAUACAGAGGUCUCAAGCGUUGUUCGGAUUCAUUGGGCGUAAAGGGUGCGUAGGUGGCGGUGUAAGUCUAACGUGAAAUCUCGGGGCUCAACCUCGAAAUUGCGUCGGAUACUGCAUUGCUAGAGGAUUGUAGAGGAGAGUGGAAUUCAUGGUGUAGCAGUGAAAUGCGUAGAUAUCAUGAGGAAGACCAGUUGCGAAGGCGACUCUCUGGGCAAUUCCUGACACUGAGGCACGAAGGCUAGGGGAGCAAACGGGAUUAGAUACCCGCGUAGUCCCUGUCUCUUAUAC
rnacentral:rRNA from 1 species